GACGAACGCUGGCGGCGUGCUUAACACAUGCAAGUCGAACGGGCCUUGUCCCCUUUUUUUUUGGGGGUGGGGUUAGUGGCGAACGGGUGAGUAACGCGUGAGUAACCUGCCCCUCACUUCUGGAUAACCGCUUGAAAGGGUGGCUAAUACGGGGUGUUCUGGCCUGCUCGCAUGGGUGGGUUUGGAAAGAUUCGACCGGUUUUGGUUGUUUUGGUGGGGGAUGGGCUCGCGGCCUAUCAGCUUGUUGGUGGGGUGAUGGCCUGCCAAGGCUUUGACGGGUAGCCGGCCUGAGAGGGUGGGCGGUCACACUGGGACUGAGACACGGCCCAGACUCCUACGGGAGGCAGCAGUGGGGAAUAUUGCACAAUGGGCGCAAGCCUGAUGCAGCGACGCCGCGUGAGGGAUGGAGGCCUUCGGGUUGUGAACCUCUUUCGCCAGUGAAGAAGGUCCUGCUCUUUGUGGUGGGGUUGACGGUAGCUGGGUUAAUGAAGCGCCGGCUAACUACGUG
rnacentral:rRNA from 1 species